GACGAACGCUGGCGGCGUGCCUAAUACAUGCAAGUAGAACGCUGAAGGAGGAGCUUGCCUCUCUGGAUGAGUUGCGAACGGGUGAGUAACGCGUAGGUAACCUGCCUGGUAGCGGGGGAUAACUAUUGGAAACGAUAGCUAAUACCGCAUAAUAGUAGAUGUUGCAUGACAUUUGCUUAAAAGGUGCAAUUGCAUCACUACCAGAUGGACCUGCGUUGUAUUAGCUAGUUGGUGAGGUAACGGCUCACCAAGGCAACGAUACAUAGCCGACCUGAGAGGGUGAUCGGCCACACUGGGACUGAGACACGGCCCAGACUCCUACGGGAGGCAGCAGUAGGGAAUCUUCGGCAAUGGACGGAAGUCUGACCGAGCAACGCCGCGUGAGUGAAGAAGGUUUUCGGAUCGUAAAGCUCUGUUGUAAGAGAAGAACGAGUGUGAGAGUGGAAAGUUCACACUGUGACGGGAUCUUACCAGAAAGGGACGGCUAACUACGU
rnacentral:rRNA from 1 species